AGGACGAACGCUUGCGGCGUGCCUAAGAAAUGCAAGUCGAACGGAUCAGGGGAGCAAUCUUCUGGUUAGUGGCGAACGGUCGCGUAACACGUAAGCAACCUGCCCUAAAGUGGGGGAUAACAGUCCGAAAGGAUUGCUAAUACCGCAUGUGGUCAAGAUUUGGCAUCUUAUUUUGACUGAAGCCUUUAGCAAUAGAGGCGCUUUAGGAUGAGCCCGCGGCCUAUCAGCUAGUUGGUGAGGUAACGGCUCACCAAGGCUAAGACGGGUAGCUGGUCUGAGAGGACGACCAGCCACACUGGAACUGAGACACGGUCCAGACACCUACGGGUGGCAGCAGUCGAGAAUUUUUCACAAUGGGGAAACCCUGAUGGAGCGACGCCGCGUGGGGGAUGAAUGGCUUCGGCCCGUAAACCCUGUCAUUCGCGAACAAUUGGUUCACUUAAUACCUGAACCAUUGAUAGUAGCGGAAGAGGAAGGGACGGCUAACUCUAGUGCCAGCAGCCGUA
rnacentral:rRNA from 1 species